CUUGAUUGACGCGCGGUACACAUGUACGGACGUUGCCUCUGUGUAACGUGUCUGACUGAGAGUCGUGCAGUACAGCGCUAGUAAUGAUGCUCAGGUGGGAAGCGAGUGCUAGAGAUGGAGGCUAGUGUAAGAAGUUGGAAUGCAGAUACUGUCAGCAAUGAAGUCAACUACAUCAUUAAAGCGGAUUUUAAAAGAAUUAUCUGCAGCACCUGUAAUAUUGAUCAGGGAGCUUGCUAGAUUAUUCAAGUUGUUAUGGAGGUAUAUGCCAGCACCAAGGAAAGCCAAAGCCACCUAUAAGCAACACAAUAAGAUGAGACCAAUGCUGUAGCCAACAAGCUUAACAGGAGCUUCGAUUCCAGUUACAAUUACAGCAUAUGAAACCGAGAUAAGGAACACAGAAGAA